rnacentral:rRNA from 1 species
CACGUAGGGGACGAGCGUUGUCCGGAAUCAUUGGGCGUAAAGCGCGCGUAGGCGGCCCGGAAAGUCGGAUGUGAAAUCCCGGGGCUCAACCCCGGGCCUGCAUCCGAUACUCCCGGGCUGGAGGCAGGUAGGGGAGAUCGGAAUUCCUGGUGUAGCGGUGAAAUGCGCAGAUAUCAGGAAGAACACCCGUGGCUAAGGCGGCUCUCUAGUACGGUACUGACGCUGAGACGCGAAAGCGUGGGGAGCGAACAGG